rnacentral:siRNA from 1 species
UCCAUUGGUGAGAUACUUCAAG